CGCUAGCUACAGGCUUAACACAUGCAAGUCGAGGGGCAGCAUUUCAGUUUGCUUGCUCACUGGAGAUGGCGACCGGCGCACGGGUGAGUAACACGUAUCCUACCUGCCGAUAACUCGGGGAUAGCCUUUCUAAAGAAAGAUUAAUACCCGAUGGUAUAAUCAGACCGCAUGGUCUUGUUAUUAAAGAAUUUCGGUUAUCGAUGGGGAUGCAUUCCAUUAGGCAGUUGGUGAGGUAACGGCUCACCAAACCUUCGAUGGAUAGGGGUUCUGAGAGGAAGGUCCCCCACAUUGGAACUGAGACACGGUCCAAACUCCUACGGGAGGCAGCAGUGAGGAAUAUUGGUCAAUGGGCGCAAGCCUGAACCACCCAAGUAGCGUGAAAGAUGACUGCCCUAUGGGUUGUAAACUUCUUUUAUAUGGGAAUAAAGUUUUCCACGUGUGGAAUUUUGUAUGUACCAUAUGAAUAAGGAUCGGCUAACUCCGUGCCAGCAGCCGCGGUAAUACAGAGGAUCCGAGCGUUAUCCGGAUUUAUUGAGUUUAAAGAGAGCGUAUGUGGACAGUUAAGUCAGUUGUGAAAGUUUGCGGCUCAUCCGUAAAAUUGCAGUUGAUACUGGCUGUCCUGAGUACAGUAGAGGUGGGCGGAAUUCGUGGUGUAGCGGUGAAAUGCUUAGAUAUCACGAAGAACUCCGAUUGCGAAGGCAGCUCACUGGACUGCAACUGACACUGAUGCUCGAAAGUGUGGGUAUCAAACAGGAUUAGAUACCCUGGUAGUCCACACAGUAAACGAUGAAUACUCGCUGUGUGCGAUAUACAGUAAGCGGCCAAGCGAAAGCAUUAAGUAUUCCACGUGGGAGUACGCCGGCAACGGUGAAACUCAAAGGAAUUGACGGGGGCCCGCACAAGCGGAGGAACAUGUGGUUUAAUUCGAUGAUACGCGAGGAACCUUACCCGGGCUUAAAUUGCAUUUGAAUAUAUUGGAAACAGUAUAGCCGUAAGGCAAAUGUGAAGGUGCUGCAUGGUUGUCGUCAGCUCGUGCCGUGAGGUGUCGGCUUAAGUGCCAUAACGAGCGCAACCCUUAUCUUUAGUUACUAACAGGUCAUGCUGAGGACUCUAGAGAGACUGCCGUCGUAAGAUGUGAGGAAGGUGGGGAUGACGUCAAAUCAGCACGGCCCUUACGUCCGGGGCUACACACGUGUUACAAUGGGGGGUACAGAAGGCAGGUACCUGGUGACAGGAUGCUAAUCCCAAAAGCCUCUCUCAGUUCGGAUGGAAGUCUGCAACCCGACUUCGUGAAGCUGGAUUCGCUAGUAAUCGCGCAUCAGCCAUGGCGCGGUGAAUACGUUCCCGGGCCUUGUACACACCGCCCGUCAAGCCAUGAAAGCCGGGGGUACCUGAAGUACGUAACCGCAAGGAGCGUCCUAGGGUAAAACUGGUAAUUGGGGC
rnacentral:rRNA from 1 species